rnacentral:lncRNA from 1 species
UUCCCAAGCUGGCUGUUGGUUGUACUCCCAGUUAUACGCUAUCAGGAUUGCCUUUCCAACUGUAUUCCUCACUGGAGUUAGCUUGAGGCUGUUCUGACUGUUUCUCUUUGGAUUUCUCAGUGGGUUCUUUCCUGGAUUCUUCGCUAAAUGGUUCAAAUGACUCUUCAAUGAAUUCCUAACUGAAAUCCUGUUCCCAAACGUCACUGAAUUCUCCACCAGUGUGUCUCAAUCUGUGGGCAUUGUUUCAUGCAGAAGACAUUAAAUAAAAGGCAGUUGAGCAAAUACAAGCAAGAGACCGAACGUUUCAGCAAAGUCUACGGGCUCCAAACAGCCUUAGUUUGGAAGGCAAAAAAAUCCUCACAGCUUCCCCUACUGCAGCUUUGAUGACAGAUUCAACGGAAGGAAAAUCUGCAGGUUGGCUAGGCAAGACCAUCUGUAUCAGUAAUUACAAAAUCUGUAUGGAGUCACUUCCAGGACUGAAGACUUCCUUCCCCACAGCAACGCAGGUUGGUAGGAGACCCUGCUCUGCAGCUACUGAAGGGCUUGAUGGAUGAAGGCUCUGCCAUCUGGCAUGUUAAAGAAAUCACCAACCCCUGGCUAAAUGCAAUGUUUUCCACAGCUGCUACUGCGUAUUUUGCUUUGGAACCACACACAGUCUCCUAUACACGCCACUUUUGUUGAGUCACCUGGAGAAGGUAACGAGGAGAUAGAACGAAGUUGAGAGUUAGUUCAGUCCUGAGGUUAAAUAAUGGUAGCUAACGUUCAUUGAGCAGAUAAAGUAUAUAAUAAGAACUCAGAUAAUUCAUCACUUUGUACAUAUUUGCUCAUUUAAUAAAUACAGGAAUCUUAGGAGAUAGGUAAUAUUCCCCACCCCAUUUUACCCAAGCUGAGAGAGUGAGUUGACAAAGAUCAUGCUGAUAAGUAAGGGAUGUAGAGGUUUACAGGACUUAACCCAGCAAUGGGACAUCAGAACCAACGCCUGCAACACCAGCCGAGGGAUCAAAAGUAGACGCGUGUGUGUGGGUUGAGGUGGGGGCAGCAGGUGGUCCAGGGCAGAAGAGCUGGUGUGGACAUGAGCGCUCUCGGAAGGACAGGACUACCAGGUGACAUGGACUGCUGAGGUCCUCGGAGACUCACAAAAUCCCAUUAUUCCCACCAUCCCAGUAAUAGGACUCUUUUCCCAUUCCAACCCCUUUAAUAAAUUCUGGUUCAAAGUGUUCUUCGAAUGAGCGUGUGAAAAGUCUGAACACAAUUUAUUACGUGGAGAGAUGAAGGCAAGUGGGUAGGAAAAAUCCGUGGAAUGGGGAGGGUCUGGGAAAUCUGUCCUGGUUUAUCUGUAUAUACUAUAGACACACAUUAUACAUAUGUAUUUAUAUAUUUGUAAUUUAAUACACAUCCACACAUUAAAGCCGUACGUAUUAGCAGGGUUU